CUACGGGUGGCUGCAGUGGGGAAUAUUGGACAAUGGGCGAAAGCCUGAUCCAGCCAUGCCGCGUGUGUGAAGAAGGCCUUCGGGUUGUAAAGCACUUUCAGUGGGGAAGAAAGCCUUGGGGCUAAUACCCUCGAGGAAGGACAUCACCCACAGAAGAAGCACCGGCUAACUCCGUGCCAGCAGCCGCGGUAAUACGGAGGGUGCGAGCGUUAAUCGGAAUUACUGGGCGUAAAGCGCGCGUAGGCGGUCUGAUAAGCCGGUUGUGAAAGCCCCGGGCUCAACCUGGGAACGGCAUCCGGAACUGUCAGGCUAGAGUGCAGGAGAGGAAGGUAGAAUUCCCGGUGUAGCGGUGAAAUGCGUAGAGAUCGGGAGGAAUACCAGUGGCGAAGGCGGCCAUCUGGACUGACACUGACGCUGAGGUGCGAAAGCGUGGGUAGCAAACAGGAUUAGAUACCCCGGUAGUC
rnacentral:rRNA from 1 species